GAUGAACGCUGGCGGCGUGCCUAAUACAUGCAAGUCGAGCGAACAGACGAGGAGCUUGCUCCUCUGACGUUAGCGGCGGACGGGUGAGUAACACGUGGAUAACCUACCUAUAAGACUGGGAUAACUUCGGGAAACCGGAGCUAAUACCGGAUAACAUGAUGAACCGCAUGGUUCAACAGUGAAAGACGGUUUUGCUGUCACUUAUAGAUGGAUCCGCGCCGCAUUAGCUAGUUGGUAAGGUAACGGCUUACCAAGGCAACGAUGCGUAGCCGACCUGAGAGGGUGAUCGGCCACACUGGAACUGAGACACGGUCCAGACUCCUACGGGAGGCAGCAGUAGGGAAUCUUCCGCAAUGGGCGAAAGCCUGACGGAGCAACGCCGCGUGAGUGAAGAAGGUCUUCGGAUCGUAAAACUCUGUUAUUAGGGAAGAACAAAUGUGUAAGUAACUAUGCACGUCUUGACGGUACCUAAUCAGAAAGCCACGGCUAACUACGUG
rnacentral:rRNA from 1 species